rnacentral:rRNA from 1 species
UACGUAGGGGGCAAGCGUUGUCCGGAAUCAUUGGGCGUAAAGCGCGCGUAGGCGGCCCUGUAAGUCCGUUGUGAAAGUCAAAGGCUCAACCUUUGAAAGCCGAUGGAUACUGCAGGGCUAGAGUCCGGAAGAGGCGAGUGGAAUUCCUGGUGUAGCGGUGGAAUGCGCAGAUAUCAGGAGGGACACCAAUAGCGAAGGCAGCUCGCUGGGACGGUACUGACGCUAAGGCGCGAAAGCGUGGGGAGCGAACAGG